rnacentral:tRNA from 1 species
GGUGCUGUGGCUAAAAUGGUAGAGCGCUUGCCUUGCAUGAAUGAGGCCCCGAGUUCAAUUCCUCAGCACCA